rnacentral:lncRNA from 1 species
CCGGUUUUCUCGAGUGCCUUCACCGGUUAAUUUCUUGACAAAACCCAUUAUAAUCCAAGAAAUCAGAAGCCCAUCCAAUUGAUAACUCGCUUAACCAAACGACCACCUUUGGGUUGUACAAAAUCGGGUCCUCGUCUUAUAUUGAGGGAUCGGGUUGGACCAUAGCGCCGGCUGAGAGAUCAAGUGUGGAGGAUUUAAG